rnacentral:rRNA from 1 species
CAGCCAUGCCGCGUGAGUGAUGAAGGCCUUCGGGUUGUAAAGCUCUUUCAGCGGGGAAGAAAAUGACGGUACCUGCAAAAGAAGCCCCGGCCAACUCCGUGCCAGCAGC